AGUAAGCCUUAGUCUGUUUGUCUUUCGGGGCUGGGGAAGAGGUUGAUGACUCCCAGAAUGGGGGGAGACAGAAGCUGCAUUUGGACCCUGGCUCUGCUCCCAGCUGCGUGACGUCGGACAGCUUUUGCAGUCCUCCCCAAACGGAAUAUCAGACCUUGGAAUUAGGUGAAAGAACCCUCCUGGGCACUAUCUUCUUCCAAAAUGUUCCUGGAGCUCGGUGUGCGAGGAUGCUACCUCAGGCCCGAUUCUUAUUGGAAGAGAGCUUUUUUAGCAUCUGGUGGGAAGUUGGUCCUGAACUCUUGGGAGACAGAUGGGCUGCAAGGAAAGCAGAUGCCCUGCAGUUGUGCGUGGGAGUGAACCGCUGUGCCUUCCUGACUGGAGUUCUUCAGAGAUCUAGAACCGAGAUUACAGGUUCCCAG
rnacentral:lncRNA from 1 species